rnacentral:sRNA from 2 species
UAUACCAAAGGUUGAUACUACUAUGUACGUAUGUAGAGUACCUUAAGAAGCAGCUCUUAUCUCGGUGCUCGAUGAUAAUACCGUUCAAGGGAAUAAAUAAAGAAAUAAGUAGUUAGUUUAACGUCCAGGAACGGUGCAGUCAACAUCGAAACAAAGCGAAAAACGAACCAAGCAUGUUUCGAUCUGGACAACACCUCAACCCGUAUACGCCCUUGCUUCCAUAGCCCAUCACCACCGUACAACGCACACGGCACAGGGAUGGGCGAUAGGAAUCCGCCGGCAGACGACAUCGCUGAUGACAGGAAUGCAGAAAGGGAAUAAAACGAACAA